CCUACGGGUGGCAGCAGUGAGGAAUAUUGGUCAAUGGACGAGAGUCUGAACCAGCCAAGUAGCGUGAAGGAUGACUGCCCUAUGGGUUGUAAACUUCUUUUAUAUGGGAAUAAAACGUUCCACGUGUGGGAUUUUGUAUGUACCCUAUGAAUAAGGAUCGGCUAACUCCGUGCCAGCAGCCGCGGUAAUACGGAGGAUCCGAGCGUUAUCCGGAUUUAUUGGGUUUAAAGGGAGCGUAGGUGGAUUGUUAAGUCAGUUGUGAAAGUUUGCGGCUCAACCGUAAAAUUGCAGUUGAAACUGGCAGUCUUGAGUACAGUAGAGGUGGGCGGAAUGCGUGGUGUAGCGGUGAAAUGCUUAGAUAUCACGAAGAACUCCGAUUGCGAAGGCAGUUCACUGGACUGCAACUGACACUGAGGCUCGAAAGUGUGGGUAUCAAACAGGAUUAGAUACCCUUGUAGUC
rnacentral:rRNA from 1 species